UACUGCACACCAGGGUGCGCUGAGAAGCACCCAAAGAAAGAAGAAAUGUGUAUGUACUUGCAUGAAACCAAAUGCUGAGUCUUUCAUCUUGAUUUUUAAUUUUAGCUUAUUCAGUGGAGGUUUUUGGGGAAGUUGGAGAAUAAAAAAUGAUGAGUAAUAUAAGGUGGAGAAGUAUAUUUUUCUAGAAUAAUUGGGAAUUUUAAUAUAUAUACUGAAAAGGGCUCUUUGCUGGUUUCGAAUCAAGAAAUACAGUAGAGAGUGUUGCCAUGACCUUCUUACAUGUCUUCUAAUAUGAUUUUCAAAUGACUUGGUUCAAAUAAGUUUGAAUGAAAGCUUGUACUUUCAUAGAUUUGUAUAGAGAAAAAUAUGAACCCCAAGUAUUAACACAAUUCAAACCUAAUGAAAGAGCUAUUCCCAUUUAUGAAAAUGUCUCAUCUUAGACAAGAAACAGACAUUAAAGUGCUAUGUAAAUGCUUCCUAUGUAAAAUUUAAUAAGAAAUCAAUGCAUUUUCAAUUUGUGCCACUUUUCCCGCCAUAGAACUUGGCAUUAGAUAUCAUUGUGUUACAACCUUUGUCAACUAUAGAUCAUUUUAAAUAAUUUAUUUCAGUUUAAAAAAUUGCUGUAGAUAUUAAGCUCAUAUCCUGAUAAACCACAAAUGUUCUUUACAGUUUUCUUUUUGUGAAAUUAUUAAAAAUGUCUGGUUUUAACGUGGGAAAAUGCAGAAAUUUUCUAUUUUCAAUCAGCUGUUUUAUUCGCUGAAGCAUCUCAAUGCUAGACAAUUGCAGGUUUACUUAUAGGCAGAGAUUCUGUAAUUGUAGUUCUCUAAAGAAGCAUAGAAUAUAUAUUAUAUUUGGGACAUUGUACAGAAUUAUAUUUCCUUAUUCAAAUGAAAUUCUGAAAACUAUAAAUUCAGUCAUCAUUUUACCACUGAUGAGAAUAUUGAAAACAAAAGUUAGUAACUACAGCCAAACAUUCCAUUAGACAGAACCAGAUUGUUUUCCCAAAUAUUUUUCUGUUUAUGUUGUGUUGCUAACUGAAUAUGCACUGGAAUAACGGGUUUGCAAAAUCUAUUGUCAAUACAGGUGCUAUUUCAAAGUUAAGUAAGAUAAUUGACAUGGUUAAAUGAGUAUAAUAUGAAAUAUAUCUUUGAAAUGUAAGCAUUAUAAGACUCUCCUUCAUCUAAAGGCAUGCUUUAUGUAGAAUACAGGUAACUUAAUUUUCUAGAUAGAUGAAGAGGAAUAGUAGCAUAAAUAAUUUUUAAAUGCACAUAAUCUAAACACGUUUUACUUGACUUUAGAAAGUAUUUUAUGUAAUUUUUAUUUUGGUUACAAAUGCUGUAUCCUUGUAACUGUGUUCUUUUAAAGCUAAUACUAAAUUUAGUUUUAAUUCAGAGAGCAUUCACCAGUUGAUGGAAGGGUUUUAGUGUUUCACUAAGUGAACUUUGUUCCAGCAUAUCACCCACCUCUCAAAAAAUAUCAGGUACAUUUCUUCCAGGUUUUUUUUUUUGUUUUAAACCUUAAAGAGAAGAUCUUCUGUAGUAGACAAACCUGGCUUAAACUUAUAGCUCUUCCAGUCACUAGCUAUACAACUUUGCAAGAGGUUUUAAACAUAUUUUUAAAAUUUCUGUUUUUUCAUCUGAAAAUGGUGAUGAUAAUGCUGGGAUUUCUGGACUGGUGUGAAAGUUGAAUAAAAUAAUGUACUUAGCACAAGUGCAUGGUAUAGGGAAAGUGCUCAGAAAUUGCAAGUUAUUAUUAAGAGAUACUUUACAAAGGCCAGUUUGCCCUCCUCUUUAACUCUGCUUCUCCAAAUUUUAUGGAUUCUUUAAGACCCAGUUCAAAUCCCAUGUCCUUUAUGGAUGCUUCCUUGACUUUGCUUUUUAAAUCUCCUUUUCUUUUCUUUAUGUAAAUAUUUAAAAAUUAAAUUGAUAAUGCAACAACAAAAAUAUUAGUUUGGUGCAAAAGUUAUUGUGGUUUUUGCAAUUAAAAGUUAUACCUCUGCCAGUUAACUAGCUGUACAACUCUCAGCAAGUAAAAGUAACGAUAAAAACCACAAUUACUUCUGCACCAACCUAAUAGUAUAGAGGCUUAUAGAACACAGUAAGAAUCUGCUGUCUGCCCAGGCUGCUUCUAACUCUCAGCCCCACUAUUCCAGGGUGUGGUAGUCAUGCAUGAAAUCCAAGGUGGCAGCAUUGCUGAAAGGCAGCAGGACAAAUGAUGGGAUAAAGAAAAGGGCAAAUGACACCUGCCUACUUUCUCUUAAAGGAGUAUCCUGGAAGCUGCCAUAUUUCACCUCUACUUCUAUCUCCUUGGCUGGAAUGAAGUCACAUGCCCACAUCAGCUGAAAGGAAGAAUUAUACUUCCCCUGAACCAUUGAUUGAUCAUGUGGCUUCAUCCAAUAAAAGGAUGCUGAAAUUAUCCUGGGAAAUCCAUCAGAAGAAGCUGGCAAGACACCUCAUCUGCAUUCUUAGGAAAUAAUAUCAGUCUUUUUCUAAAAAAUCUCUAAUUGAGGAAAAACCAACACACUCUGGUAUCCCUCAGCCUUCUCUGGAGGAAGUUUGUCCCUUGCUAGAGAAGAGUGGACGAGGGGGCAAAAGUAGACAAGGGCAUUUUAAAAACUGGCUGAUUACUUGAACUGUUUGGGAACCUUCAUAAAAUAGACUUCUGAGUCCCGUACUGAUUUUGAUGUACAUGAUAGGGCUAAAGAGUAUAUGGUUUUGUUUAUUUAUUUUUUUAAACACAGAUUUUUGCUCUGUUGCCCAGGCUGGAGUGCAGUAGCUCAAUCACAGCUAGCUGUAGCCUUGAUGUCUCAGGCUCAAGCAAUCCUCCCAUCAUAGCCUCCCAAGUAACUGGGAAUACAGGCAUGUGUCACU